ACUUGGCACCCCUUACGCCUUACGGUGGCCGCUGCGCCCAGUCACAUCUGAGCGGAGAAUUUAAUAGGCAAGAAAGAAGGAAGAAGGCUGAAGGAAGAAGCUCCCCACUACAGAGACAGACGGAGGGGGCUCCCAAGACGAAAGAGGAGACCCCCAUUCUAGAUGUUCUUAACCCUUUGAGGGCAAAGCUCUCCGUUUAAUGCCUUGCACAUAUCAGGUUGCCAACAACAUGGUGUGGUUUAUCAAUUGUGAUAGGUUACUUAUUCGAGCCCCUGUUUACAAGAGUUUUAGAUUGCAUUUCUCUGGAAUGACCACAGCAAUAUUUCCAGCCCUUGAUGAUCUUCUAGAACUUUGCCACUUCCCUGCAUCAAGAGGUAAAAUCCAUUUCUAUUCUCUUGAAUUGAACAGCUUCAAUGAAUUGAGUGCUGAAGAAUUAACACUCUGUGACUUCAUGACUUGUUGGAAAUUGUGAGGAAUCUCAGGCCACAUGGAGGGGCCAGUGAAGAUGUUCCAGCUUAUAGCCCCAGCUAAGGUUUCAACUAAUAGCCAGACUCAACCACCAGGUAUAUGAAUGAACCUUCAGAUGAUUCUAGUCUCCAGCCUUCAAGCUUCCCCAGUCGAUGCUGAGUGGAGCAAAAAAAGGAAUUAUUCUCACUGAGCCCUGUCCAAAUUGCAAAUACCUGACAAAAAUAAAUAUUGUUGUUUUAAGCCACUAAAUUUUGGAGGAACUUGUUAUGCAAUCAUAAAAACAGAUUUUGUUAUCUGGAAGUGAGUGCCAUGUAACAGAAAUCUAAAAUGUGGUAGUGGCUGAAGCUAGACUAGACAGGAUUAGGCAGGACUAGACAGAGGGCAGAAGGUGAGAGGGCCUUCAGGUGACUGUGGAAGGCUGAUGGACCUCAAGGAGGCUAUCAGAGAGGGUUUAGAGGAG
rnacentral:lncRNA from 1 species